ACUUAUCGAUAUUUGAUAACCGGGCGAAGCAGUCCGCGCGUGUUACUGGUUAGGUGCAGGUGCAGAUGAUGAUUCACUUUUAAGUCAGUAGGCAUAAAAUAUUAUUGUUUUUGGCUAUUUUCUCAAAGUAAAUAUUAUUUACAAAAAGAAAGUUCGAAUGACGACCGAGCAAACAGAACGAAUCGAAGAAAACAUACUUUCGCACACGUCGCGCGUCGUCGCGUCCGGUCGAAUAUAAUUGAUACCGAAAAUCGAGUGGACGAAACUAUGACGGGGGAAAACACUGCGAAACACUUAAGUUUAUACCUGUGCGUGGAUACGCAACGGUUUGUGCCAAUGUUUCAGAUGACGUAG